rnacentral:rRNA from 1 species
AGUCAAUAGAUACCCUGGUAGUCCAUGCCGUAAACGAUGAUUGCUAGGUGUGGGGGGUCUGACCCCUUCCGUGCCGGAGUUAAACACAAUAAGCAAUCCACCUGGGGAGUACGGCCGCAAGGUUGAAACUCAAAGGAAUUGACGGGGGCCCGCACAAGCAGUGGAGUAUGUGGUUUAAAUUCGAAGCAACGCGAAGGACCUUACCAGGUCUUGACAUCCACCGAAUCCUGUAGAGAUAUGGGAGUGCCUUUCGGGGAACGGUGAGACAGGUGGUGCAUGGUUGUCGUCAGCUCGUGUCGUGAGAUGUUGGGUUAAGUCCCGCAACGAGCGCAACCCUUGUGAAUAGUUGCUACGAAAGAGCACUCUAUUCAGACCGCCGUUGACAAAACGGAGGAAGGUGGGGAUGACGUCAAAUCAUCAUGCCCCUUAUGACCUGGGCUACACACGUACUACAAUGGUCGUCAACAGAGGGAAGCAAGACCGCGAGGUGGAGCGAACCCCUAAAAACGAUCUCAGUUCAGAUUGCAGGCUGAAACUCGCCU